UUUAAGAAACCAUAAUGAAGGGCAACAAUGGAAGAGAAUGUAACGAUUUUAUUUCAGUCUUCGUUGAUUCUGCCUUUUUAUUUUUUUUCACUUCUACUUUAUCUUGCCAUUCUUCUAUCAUCGGCUUAUCCUGAUUGGUCUGCUUUAUAU
rnacentral:ribozyme from 11 species